UUGGGCCUGAAGGGCUCCUCUGCACUUAAACUUUGAUGGAGUAGGAGUCAAAAGGAAUCCACCUCUCCACCUAGACAACAGUUCUACCAGCAGCAACUCUCUGAAGUAACUAUGUUGGAACUCUGGAGUCUAUUCGAAUGCUUACAUCUUCCAAGGGAAAGCUGGGCUGGUAAAUAGAGGUUAAUUUCAGUCUCUGUCAGCUUUAGUGUGAUAGCAGCUACUCAUGCAGUGUUACUUAACCCUGUAGCACGCAGCUGUAUCCACAUUCCUGGUGCGGCUUGCUGGAGGCUGGGUGGGCGAUACGAACUUUGUCCUCCAAAUACUGGCUGUCGACACUCUGGUUGUUGAUGACUGAAGUGCAGGUGCAGAGGCAGGUUGCCACUGUUUUGACCCCCCACCAGCUGAACCUCUUUCCAAGGGUUUUAAAAGAAUAGCACCUGUUUUGUUUGUUAGCUUCCCUUUUACCCCAUUUAUGAGUCAGAUAUUGAAGGAUUAGGAUAUUCAAAAGCAAUCACUUAGGCAGGGGAAAGUAGAAAGCUACUGCAUAUAACCAGGGAA
rnacentral:lncRNA from 1 species